rnacentral:rRNA from 1 species
CCCUAUGGGGUGCAGCAGGCGGGAUCGAUCAUCAUCUAUCUCUUCGAGAUCUUCAUCGCCUGCAUCCAGGCGUUCAUCUUCGCCAUCCUCUCCGCCGUGUACAUCGGCGGGGCGCUGGAUCAGGAGGAAUGAGUGCUCGCUGCACGACACCACGACCCCGCACCGCGCGUGCAUCGUCAAGGAGGACACUGAAUGGACGCUGAAUCCGCGAAGCUUCUUGCCGCCGGCAUCUCGAUGGGCGGCGGCUCGCUCGGGCCCGCGGUCGGGCUUGGCAUGCUCAUCAGCAAGGCGCUCGAGAGCAUCGCCCGCCAACCCGAGGUGUCCGGCGAGAUCCGCACCGACAUGUUCAUCGGGAUCGGCGUGACCGAGGCCGUGGCCCUUUACGCCUUCGUCAUCGCCUUGAUCCUCAUCUUCGUCGCUUGACGGUCGUGGCGGGGGGGC